CCUACGGGGUGCAGCAGUGGGGGAUAUUGCACAAUGGGGGAAACCCUGAUGCAGCGACGCCGCGUGGGUGAAGAAGCGCCUCGGCGCGUAAAGCCCUGUCAGCAGGGAAGAAAAUGACGGUACCUGAAGAAGAAGCCCCGGCUAACUACGUGCCAGCAGCCGCGGUAAUACAUAGGGGGCAAGCGUUAUCCGGAUUUACUGGGUGUAAAGGGGGCGCAGACGGCGAUGCAAGCCAGGAGUGAAAGCCCGGGGCCCAACCCCGGGACUGCUCUUGGAACUGCGUGGCUAGAGUGCAGGAGGGGCAGGCGGAAUUCCUGGUGUAGCGGUGAAAUGCGUAGAUAUCAGGAGGAACACCGGUGGCGAAGGCGGCCUGCUGGACUGCAACUGACGUUGAGGCCCGAAAGCGUGGGGAGCAAACAGGAUUAGAUACCCCAGUAGUC
rnacentral:rRNA from 1 species